rnacentral:misc_RNA from 1 species
GAUGAAGAACGCAGCGAAAUGCGAUACGUAAUGUGAAUUGCAGAAUUCAGUGAAUCAUCGAGUCUUUGAACGCACAUUGCGCCCCCUGGUAUUCCGGGGGGCAUGCCUGUCCGAGCGUCAUUGCUGCCCUCAAGCACGGCUUGUGUGUUGGGCCUCCGUCCUCCUCCCGGGGGACGGGCCCGAAAGGCAGCGGCGGCACCGCGUCCGGUCCUCCAGCGUAUGGGGCUUCGUCACCCGCUCUUGUAGGCCCGGCCGGCGCUUGCCGACACAUCAAUCUUUUUUCCAGGUUGACCUCGGAUCAGGUAGGGAUACCCGCUGAACUUAAGCAUAUCAAUAAGCGGAGGA